CUAAUAGUAGUAUAAAAAGUAUUACUGUCUUCCAAACAGUGGGUUCGACAUAUCGAUUAUUAGAC
rnacentral:tRNA from 1 species